AUUGAACGCUGGCGGCAUGCUUUACACAUGCAAGUCGAACGGUAACAGGGUGCUUGCACCGCUGACGAGUGGCGAACGGGUGAGUAAUGCGUCGGAACGUGCCGAGUAGUGGGGGAUAACGCAGCGAAAGUUGUGCUAAUACCGCAUACGCCCUACGGGGGAAAGCAGGGGACCUUCGGACCUUGCGCUAAUAGAUGAGCCUAAGUCGGAUUAGCUAGUUGGUGGGGUAAAGAGUCACCAAGCCAACGAUCUGUAGCUGGUCUGAGAGGACGACCAGCCACACUGGGACUUAGACACGGCCCAGACUCAUACGGGAGGCAGCAGUGGGGAAUUUUGGACAAUGGGCGCAAGCCUGAUCCAGCAAUGCCGCGUGCAGGAAGAAGGCCUUCGGGUUGUAAACUGCUUUUGUACGGAGCGAAAAGGCUCCCUCUAAUACAGGGGGCUCAUGACGGUACCGUAAGAAUAAGCACCGGCUAACUACGUGCCAGCCGCCGCCGUAAUAC
rnacentral:rRNA from 1 species